UACGUAGGGGGCAAGCGUUGUCCGGAUUUAUUGGGCGUAAAGAGCGUGUAGGCGGUCAGGUAGGUCCGUUGUGAAAACUCGAGGCUCAACCUCGAGACGCCGAUGGAAACCAUCUGACUAGAGUCCGGAAGAGGAGAGUGGAAUUCCUGGUGUAGCGGUGAAAUGCGCAGAUAUCGGGAAGAACACCCGUGGCGAAGGCGGCUCUCUGGGACGGUACUGACGCUGAGACGGCGAAAAGCGUGGGGAGCGAACG
rnacentral:rRNA from 1 species